rnacentral:rRNA from 1 species
AGAGUUUGAUCCUUGCUGGAUUGAACGCUGGCGGCAUGCCUUACACAUGCAAGUCGAACGGCAGCACGGAGCUUGCUCUGGUGGCGAGUGGCGAACGGGUGAGUAAUAUAUCGGAACGUACCCUAGAGUGGGGGAUAACGUAGCGAAAGUUACGCUAAUACCGCAUACGAUCUAAGGAUGAAAGUGGGGGAUCGCAAGACCUCAUGCUCGUGGAGCGGCCGAUAUCUGAUUAGCUAGUUGGUAGGGUAAAAGCCUACCAAGGCAUCGAUCAGUAGCUGGUCUGAGAGGACGACCAGCCACACUGGAACUGAGACACGGUCCAGACUCCUACGGGAGGCAGCAGUGGGGAAUUUUGGACAAUGGGCGAAAGCCUGAUCCAGCAAUGCCACGUGAGUGAAGAAGGCCUUCGGGUUGUAAAGCUCUUUUGUCAGGGAAGAAACGGUGAAAGCUAAUAUCUUUUGCUAAUGACGGUACCUGAAGAAUAAGCACCGGCUAACUACGUGCCAGCAGCCGCGGUAAUACGUAGGGUGCAAGCGUUAAUCGGAAUUACUGGGCGUAAAGCGUGCGCAGGCGGUUUUGUAAGUCUGAUGUGAAAUCCCCGGGCUCAACCUGGGAAUUGCAUUGGAGACUGCAAGGCUAGAAUCUGGCAGAGGGGGGUAGAAUUCCACGUGUAGCAGUGAAAUGCGUAGAUAUGUGGAGGAACACCGAUGGCGAAGGCAGCCCCCUGGGUCAAGAUUGACGCUCAUGCACGAAAGCGUGGGGAGCAAACAGGAUUAGAUACCCUGGUAGUCCACGCCCUAAACGAUGUCUACUAGUUGUCGGGUCUUAAUUGACUUGGUAACGCAGCUAACGCGUGAAGUAGACCGCCUGGGGAGUACGGUCGCAAGAUUAAAACUCAAAGGAAUUGACGGGGACCCGCACAAGCGGUGGAUGAUGUGGAUUAAUUCGAUGCAACGCGAAAAACCUUACCUACCCUUGACAUGGCUGGAAUCCUUGAGAGAUCAGGGAGUGCUCGAAAGAGAGCCAGUACACAGGUGCUGCAUGGCUGUCGUCGGCUCGUGUCGUGAGAUGUUGGGUUAAGUCCCGCAACGAGCGCAACCCUUGUCAUUAGUUGCUACGAAAGGGCACUCUAAUGAGACUGCCGGUGACAAACCGGAGGAAGGUGGGGAUGACGUCAAGUCCUCAUGGCCCUUAUGGGUAGGGCUUCACACGUCAUACAAUGGUACAUACAGAGCGCCGCCAACCCGCGAGGGGGAGCUAAUCGCAGAAAGUGUAUCGUAGUCCGGAUUGUAGUCUGCAACUCGACUGCAUGAAGUUGGAAUCGCUAGUAAUCGCGGAUCAGCAUGUCGCGGUGAAUACGUUCCCGGGUCUUGCACUCACCGCCCGUC